rnacentral:rRNA from 1 species
GUUAAGCGACUAAGCGUACACGGUGGAUGCCCUGGCAGUCAGAGGCGAUGAAGGACGUGCUAAUCUGCGAUAAGCGUCGGUAAGGUGAUAUGAACCGUUAUAACCGGCGAUUUCCGAAUGGGGAAACCCAGUGUGUUUCGACACACUAUCAUUAACUGAAUCCAUAGGUUAAUGAGGCGAACCGGGGGAACUGAAACAUCUAAGUACCCCGAGGAAAAGAAAUCAACCGAGAUUCCCCCAGUAGCGGCGAGCGAACGGGGAGCAGCCCAGAGCCUGAAUCAGUGUGUGUGUUAGUGGAAGCGUCUGGAAAGGCGCGCGAUACAGGGUGACAGCCCCGUACACAAAAAUGCACAUGCUGUGAGCUCGAUGAGUAGGGCGGGACACGUGGUAUCCUGUCUGAAUAUGGGGGGACCAUCCUCCAAGGCUAAAUACUCCUGACUGACCGAUAGUGAACCAGUACCGUGAGGGAAAGGCGAAAAGAACCCCGGCGAGGGGAGUGAAAAAGAACCUGAAACCGUGUACGUACAAGCAGUGGGAGCACGCUUAGGCGUGUGACUGCGUACCUUUUGUAUAAUGGGUCAGCGACUUAUAUUCUGUAGCAAGGUUAACCGAAUAGGGGAGCCGAAGGGAAACCGAGUCUUAACUGGGCGUUAAGUUGCAGGGUAUAGACCCGAAACCCGGUGAUCUAGCCAUGGGCAGGUUGAAGGUUGGGUAACACUAACUGGAGGACCGAACCGACUAAUGUUGAAAAAUUAGCGGAUGACUUGUGGCUGGGGGUGAAAGGCCAAUCAAACCGGGAGAUAGCUGGUUCUCCCCGAAAGCUAUUUAGGUAGCGCCUCGUGAAUUCAUCUCCGGGGGUAGAGCACUGUUUCGGCAAGGGGGUCAUCCCGACUUACCAACCCGAUGCAAACUGCGAAUACCGGAGAAUGUUAUCACGGGAGACACACGGCGGGUGCUAACGUCCGUCGUGAAGAGGGAAACAACCCAGACCGCCAGCUAAGGUCCCAAAGUCAUGGUUAAGUGGGAAACGAUGUGGGAAGGCCCAGACAGCCAGGAUGUUGGCUUAGAAGCAGCCAUCAUUUAAAGAAAGCGUAAUAGCUCACUGGUCGAGUCGGCCUGCGCGGAAGAUGUAACGGGGCUAAACCAUGCACCGAAGCUGCGGCAGCGACGCUGAUGCGUUGUUGGGUAGGGGAGCGUUCUGUAAGCCUGCGAAGGUGUGCUGUGAGGCAUGCUGGAGGUAUCAGAAGUGCGAAUGCUGACAUAAGUAACGAUAAAGCGGGUGAAAAGCCCGCUCGCCGGAAGACCAAGGGUUCCUGUCCAACGUUAAUCGGGGCAGGGUGAGUCGACCCCUAAGGCGAGGCCGAAAGGCGUAGUCGAUGGGAAACAGGUUAAUAUUCCUGUACUUGGUGUUACUGCGAAGGGGGGACGGAGAAGGCUAUGUUGGCCGGGCGACGGUUGUCCCGGUUUAAGCGUGUAGGCUGGUUUUCCAGGCAAAUCCGGAAAAUCAAGGCUGAGGCGUGAUGACGAGGCACUACGGUGCUGAAGCAACAAAUGCCCUGCUUCCAGGAAAAGCCUCUAAGCAUCAGGUAACAUCAAAUCGUACCCCAAACCGACACAGGUGGUCAGGUAGAGAAUACCAAGGCGCUUGAGAGAACUCGGGUGAAGGAACUAGGCAAAAUGGUGCCGUAACUUCGGGAGAAGGCACGCUGAUAUGUAGGUGAAGUCCCUUGCGGAUGGAGCUGAAAUCAGUCGAAGAUACCAGCUGGCUGCAACUGUUUAUUAAAAACACAGCACUGUGCAAACACGAAAGUGGACGUAUACGGUGUGACGCCUGCCCGGUGCCGGAAGGUUAAUUGAUGGGGUCAGCGCAAGCGAA